rnacentral:lncRNA from 1 species
CUGGACUGUCAUCAGUGGGACCCCCUGUAGCAUGUUUCACAGGAUGGCUAAGGCUGGAAGGGACCUCUUCUGGAGGACAUCUGGUCCAGAAUGGCUUCCUCCAUACCUCCACUGUAGUUCUUCAGUGAGAUGAGCUUCUUGCUACGUCUGACUCUGCAAAGCCCCACCCCUUCUGGUUCAUCUGGUCUCUGGGAGUUGCAGCCACUGGUCCCUGAGCAGGCUCUUUGGACACCACAGCAUCAAGCAGCCUGGCCCUAUCUGGAGCCAUUUCAAGGAAAAUCCAGACCUGCAUUUGACCUCAUUCUUUUAUUUACUCACCACACUAAUUAGGUCAGGCAGAGUGAAGGCCAGCAAGACAUGUAGGAUGGACUAUUUGCAUAGCUGCGAGCGGUUUCUAUCUGAUUGAGUGGAGUGGAUUGAACCAUAG